AGCCACACAGUGAAUAUAAAAUGAACAUUUCUUUCGCCUUUUACUAAAGAAUACCGUGUAUUCGCUACACUAAAGUGGUAUACGCCUAUUUUUAGAGAGACCCAUAACAACUGAAGGGCU
rnacentral:snRNA from 1 species